rnacentral:lncRNA from 1 species
CAUCAGUCAAAAAUUCAUCUUGCAUCCAAAUCGCAUGAAGUCUGCAUCCCAUGUGUUGGUUUCCACUCACGCGAACCUGAUCUCAUGCGACCGCUUUGUUGAAUGUCGCGUGCUGUGAAGAAUUUGAACUCCAUUUGAUUUCGUUAACUAAAUCCUGUCAAAAUUCUUAGUUUUUAUAUUUGUACCAAAGUUCCACGCUUGCUGGUCUCACUCUCAAUUUCGCAUCCAAAUCGCA